ensembl:lncRNA
CUUCAAUUGCUUUCUUCUUCACAUGGGAUUGUGCUAAGCAAACGCACCCUUGAAAGAAUUUUAAACAAAAAGCAGCUCUGGCAUAGGAAGAAUAAAACCGAUGUGGCUGAGGUGGCAACCUUCAUUGAACAACAACUGGAAACUUCUGGUCAAUGUCAUGGUUACAGAUGGAUGCACCAAAAGUGUUGGUUACAUGGAAUUACAACUGACAGAGAAACCGUUCAAAUAUUGCUUCAGUUAUUGGAUGGUGAAGGUGUUGAUCUGAGGUCAAGAAACAGACUGCGUAGGCGUGUUUACCACAGCUGUGGUCCAAACUAUGUCUGGCACAUUGAUGGCUAUGACAAACUUAAGCCAUUUGGAAUUGCUAUCAGUGGAUGCAUAGACGGUUUUUCCAAGAAAGAUGAUUUGGCUUGAAGCCUACAAAACAAACAAUGACCCAAAUAUCAUUGCCGGCUACUUCAUGGAUGCUGUGAUCAAUGCUGAUGGAUGCCCUGCCAGACUAAGACUGGAUUUAGGAACUGAAAAUGGACAUAUGGCUGAAAUGCAGCGGCUUUUGCAUUUGUCCAAGGACCAAGCUGAGACAGACUGUGUAACCUUUGGUCCAAGCACAGGAAACCAGCGGAUUGAGCGUUGGUGGCUGACCCUGCGCAGUGAGUGUGUCCAGUUUUGGAUGGACCUGUUUGACAAAUUGAGAGAAGAUGUCUACUUCUCAGACGACUUUUUGGAUAAGUCCUUGAUCCAGUUUUGCUUUCUUCAAACAAUACAGGAGGAACUUAAUGAGGUGAGUUUGACUUGGAACAGCAACAGAGUCCGUCGAGUCCACAACUCCCGAUCACCUCAUGGACGUCCCUCCAUACUGCAUGCAGUCCCUCAACUAUUCAGAGGCAGAGAUUGUUUGCACCAUGUGGACCUGGAGAAUGUUCAAGUCUGUCUUGAAGAGUGUGUAUUCAAGGACUUCCCCUGCGAUGAAGACAUGUUUCAUAUCUGUGUGGACCUGAUGUCAGAGUAUAACCUGAAAUUAAACAAUGAUGUGUUUGAAACAGUGAAC